UACGGAGGGGGCUAGCGUUAUUCGGAAUUACUGGGCGUAAAGCGCACGUAGGCGGACCAGAAAGUUGGAGGUGAAAUCCCAGGGCUCAACCUUGGAACUGCCUUCAAAACUCCUGGUCUUGAGUUCGAGAGAGGUGAGUGGAAUUGCGAGUGUAGAGGUGAAAUUCGUAGAUAUUCGCAGGAACACCAGUGGCGAAGGCGGCUUACUGGUCCAUUACUGACGCUGAGGUGCGAAAGCGUGGGGAGCACACAGG
rnacentral:rRNA from 1 species